rnacentral:rRNA from 1 species
AUUGAACGCUGGCGGCAUGCUUUACACAUGCAAGUCGAACGGCAGCGCGGGGAAACCUGGCGGCGAGUGGCGAACGGGGGAGUAAGAUAUCGGAACGUACCCAGAAGUGGGGGAUAACGUAGCGAAAGUUACGCUAAUACCGCAUACGAUCUACGGAUGAAAGUAGGGGACCGCAAGGCCUUAUGCUUUUUGAGCGGCCGAUAUCUGAUUAGCUAGUUGGUGAGGUAAAGGCUCACCAAGGCGACGAUCAGUAGCUGGUCUGAGAGGACGAGCAGCCACACUGGAACUGAGACACGGUCCAGACUCCUACGGGAGGCAGCAGUGGGGAAUUUUGGACAAUGGGCGCAAGCCUGAUCCAGCAAUGCCGCGUGAGUGAAGAAGGCCUUCGGGUUGUAAAGCUCUUUUGUCAGGGAAGAAACGGUAGAGGCUAAUAUCCUGUUCUAAUGACGGUACCUGAAGAAUAAGCACCGGCUAACUACGUG